AAUCUCCUAUAAUGAAAUAAGAGAAGUAAAAAAAAAAAAAGAAAAGAAAAGAAAAAGAAAAGAAACUCCUUGUUAAAAUUACUUGGCAUUAUUGUUCUCCAUUAUGUAAAUGGGUUUCUCUGCUCCAAGUUCAAAAAAAAGCCAGUUCUAGCCUCAGAGGGACCCCGUACUGUUGGCUGAGUAAAACCAUUCAAACCCCUCUUUGCUUUUAUUUAUGCAGAUGGCAAGGAUAUUGCUAUUGGAUCAUAGGAUGUGAACAGUGGUGUUGAGAUUACCCUCAUUUGGCUGAUGAUGUCAUUGAGGCCCAGAGAAGGUAAGUAAUGUAGCAAGGUUCCAGACUAGUAAGUGGCAGAGAUGGGUUUUGAGCCCUAUUCUUCUACAUUGUGUGCAAUAGCUCAUAUCAAGGUCACUAAAGCUGAAGACUGAAUUAUUUAUUCAAAUACUGCCAUCAUGCACCAAUAUUCUCAACAGGUGGGACACUUGGCAGGGCCUGGCUUUGGGGCUAACUUCUGCAGCUCUUUUGAUCGCCCCCACCUUACAGUUUUCGGCACAGAGCACUGUGUAGCUGGCACUUCUCUACUGGCCCGAAUGAGAAAACUUCCUCAGAGCAAAAUUUCAAGCGCCAAAUAAGAUUCAUGUUUACUGUGAAGUGAUUGCUGCUUUUUAAAUGCUUAUCAGAAGCCGAAGGACAAACUCAGUAGGUUGAUUCAUGCUGAGCUCGACUACCUCCGUGAGAAAUGACUCUCCUGUAGGGCUCGAUGACCUUCAUGUCAAUGCGCUGCUCUUGUUCUCCAAUCACCACUGUCCUCCAAAGCCGGUUGUCCUCCCGUUCCUCUUCGGCCGUAUAUUCUGGAAUAGACUCUGACUCUUGGCCAGAAUCUUUGUUGGCUGUGGGAUCUUCUGGAAACAAAGCACAGUGCAGGGCUGAAGGAGCAAGACCUCCACAGUGCAGCUAAACAGCCAAAUGCUUCAUUCAUAAUUGCCAAAACUUGGAAGCAGCCAAGAUGUCCUUCAGUAGGUGAAUGGAAAAUAACCUGUGACUUGUCCAGACAAUGGAAUAUUAUUCGGCAUUAAAAAGAAAUGAUCUGUCAAGCCAUGAAAGGAUAUGGAGGAACCUUAAUUGCAGUCUCCCGCAAGUCAGGAAAACUGGAUAAAAAGAGGCCUAAAUGUGAGCAAGAGCUAUCAUGUUUGGCUUCAAGUCCUGACAACUCUGUAUAUGAUCUUCAGUGCCCUUUACCUGGCCGAAGUAUCCUCCCAGGCUUGGCUGAGAAUACAUGAUUCAGGAUCUUGGUAUGAUCCUGGAGUUGGUGUAAUGCAAGAGAGUGACCCUGGAAUACAGUGAGAGUCAUUGUCUACUAUGUGCCGAGGAUAUAGAGGAACAAAACAGACCCGUCUCAUUCUCGUGGUGGAGUUGGGAUGGUGGAGCUAAUACAAUGACCCCUACCUUCAAGAACUCAGUGCUGCUCCCCUGGAUAGAGGUGAGGAAAAUGAGGCAGAGAAUGAAACAUUUCCAUCUGGAUGACCAAACCGUCAGCUCCUAAAGGGCCGCAGAGGCUGAGAGCGCUGCUGGCAGCCGGCCCUCUGUGGACAUUUGCUGAAUAAACAGAAGAUAUGUGCACCAGUGUUCGGUCCUUUGGGUGAUACCAUCCCAUUUUUAUUUUCUGGAUUUCCUUCCUGAUGGGUCCAUUGUUCCUCAUUUUCCUCUAGCAUUAAAUUCCUUUAUCUUUU